GAUGAACGCUGGCGGCGUGCCUAAUACAUGCAAGUCGAGCGAAAGGUCGAGAAGCUUGCUCCUCUGAUGUUGGCGGCGGACGGGAGAGUAACAUGUGGUUAACCUACCUCUCCGACUGGGAUAACUUCGGGGAACCAGAGCUACUACCGGAUAAUUUUUUGAACCGCAUGGUUCAAAAGUUAAAGUCGGUAUUGCUUUCACUUAUAGAUGAAUACGCGUUGGAUUAGUUAGUUGGUAAGGUAACGGCUUACCAACGCAGCGAUGGAUAGACGACCUGAAAGGGUGGACGCCCACACGGGAUGAGAGAAACAGCAGAGACACCUAGAGGAGGCAGCGGUAGGGAAUCUUCCGGGAUGGGGGAAAGGCUGAUGGAGGAACGCCGGCUGAGUGAUGAAGCACUUCGGAUCGUAAAACGCUGUUAGUAGUGGAGAACAAAUGUUUAAGUAACUGGGCUCAUAUUGACGGUACCUAAAGAGAAAGCCCCGGCUAACUACGUG
rnacentral:rRNA from 1 species